UACGUAGGGGGCUAGCGUUGUCCGGAUUUAUUGGGCGUAAAGAGCGUGUAGGCGGCCAGGUAGGUCUGCUGUGAAAACUCGAGGCUCAACCUCGAGACGUCGGCGGAAACCAUCUGGCUAGAGUCCGGAAGAGGAGAGUGGAAUUCCUGGUGUAGCGGUGAAAUGCGCAGAUAUCAGAAAGAACACCCGUGGCGAAGGCGGCGCUCUGGGCCGGUACUGACGCUGAGGAGCGAAAGCGUGGGGAGCGAACAGG
rnacentral:rRNA from 1 species